rnacentral:lncRNA from 1 species
UGUUUUAGUUUUUCACUACUAAUAAAAAGUAGACAAAUACAGCUAGAAAUUAACCUAGAUUAAACUAAAUUUCAGCGAUUAAUGACCAAAAUAGGAGACCAAAACAAAACCUACAGUACUCAAUAAUGAGACCAAACAUUAUGGCUUUUCUCCUUGAACGCUGUUCACGUUAAACAUUUAAACUUUUAUAAUAUAAAACCCUCAGUAAGUGGACGACAUGUUCGGCUAGUGAUGUCUUGAUAAUGAAUAAAGUUAUUGCACAAUCCGUAUCAUGAAGUCAGUAAAGUCUUCCGAUACAUUCAUCAUCUGCGCUGCAUUAUUGUUAAAAUUCGUUAAAAGUCAAACGUUCCCUUGAUAUCGUUAAAAAGUGCGUUUUCGCGUCUUGGAUAUGCCAAACAGCACAAACACUUGUUUUCGCGGCCUGGUUCACUGAAGCUAGAUGUUAUUUUGGGUCUCAAGUGAUUUGAAUCGUAGCUAACAUACCGUAUGCAAAUAACAAAGCAAUGCAGGUUCGUAAUGGAGACGAAUGAAUCAAUAUUAAACAGCUGUUCAUUCUAACAUGUUAUUAGAAUGAGUAUUUUGAGUAAUUUUUCCAUGUUUAAAAUCGUCUUUGUUUAUUUCCAGAGCCUGAGAAGAGGACACUGGUCCUCACGAUGUUGUGUUCCUCUCAAACCGCACUUCAUUGUGACAAACCUGAAACUCGGAAUGAACUGUUUGAAACGCUGAAAAAAAAAUUUGAUGAUAAAUUUCAAGACUUGGUCCACUGGAAGCUUAAAGCAAAAACUAGGUUUGUAAAAAGAGCUGGAUUUUUUACAAAUUACUAUGAUUUAUAUUAACCUCUGACUCUCAUUUCACAGCAAAGACAUCCUUUGAAUCUCUAUGAUGUGGCCUACAAUCAAGAAAGAAUCACAUACUGAAAGGUGAAUCUGAAUUAUUUUUUUACAUUUCCAUCGAAUGCAACUUACAAAAGAGGAACAAAAGCAAUGUGUCAGAGAGCCAACAAUAUAUGUUAUAUACAAUUUUAUUAGAUUAGAUUAGGAAACAAGGGAGAGAAGAGGAAACAUUUAGAGAAGAAAUAUACGUUUUUGGUAAACUCUGCUUUACGGGAACCAAAUGUCCUCACAGGGAUAGCAAAACCUGAUAUUUUUGACCUUUGCUUGUUUGUUUUUUAUUUUCUGUGUGAGUUAUGGGGCGAGGGUAUAGAAUAUACAGUAUAAAAAUCAUUAUGUCUUUGGAAAGUGCAUUGGUUUAAGAGGUUGUUAAGUGCUUGUUUUUAGCUUCUUGGAGGGUUUUAUUUCGAUUCUCAAUCGUUUUUGGAUCUGUAUGGCGAUUUUUUCUUCUUACAAAUUGCAUAUUGACAUUUACUAUAGAUUGAGUGGUGUGAUGAUAUUUGCUAUAGUUGUGGGAGCUAUAAUUCAUCUUCAAAACUGUAACAUGAAUACCUUUUUUUAAGACCUUUGCUAUAGCUUCAUGUGAAUUCCAGUUUUAAUGUUCAUGAUGGAUUACUGCUGAUUAUUUUGGGGACUGGUUUCAUUAUAAUUAAAGAUAUUACACAUGGGUUUGUUUGCAUUAUUUCACUACUUUAUACAAGUUCUCAGUAUAAUUACUUUCUUUCCAACUUGUGAUGUUCAUUUACAUCUACAACCAUAAGUCCUCAAUAUUUCUGUCUUGUUUUCCAAAUUAGUAAACACUCUUAAAUCAAGAUACAUUUACUUGAACAAUUAUAAUAUAUAUAUAUGUUUAUA